GCACAUACAUUCUCCUUGUAGUCGGUCCUUCUAGAAAAGUGAUCAAGAACAAAGAACGGAUUUAUAUUGAUUAACACGCUCAGAGCUCCGCGACUAACAAGACGCAAGCAAACUCGAAUCAAAACGCGUCGAAGGCUAAAUCGGCGCAGAAUCCGAAGACGGAUAGCGAGCGUCGUCGAGUCCGAGGCGAUCACCAGAAAUUGUAAUUUAUUGCAAAAUAAACGCAUCUUCUCAUAAUUUUCGGAAGAGUUCCAGCCUGCGACAUCCGUGUCCAACGUACCCCAGCCGGCCACUAUUUUGGACAAAUUAGGUGACCUGAGCAAAAUUGAUAUC